AUGAGAUACAUAAUACACAAGGAGGAAAAUAUUGGCAAGCUGGACAGAACUAUAAGGAAUCUAGAAGCCAGGAAGCAGGAAAUCCAAAUCCGUCUUAUGAACUCCGAAAGGAAGCAAGAAACAUGUAACCCUGAAGUUGCAGAAUGGCUAGAGAAAGUGGCAGAAAUAGAAAGUGAAGUGAAUGAGAUGAAACAUGGGCAGAGGAAGAGAAGGGCCCAGUCUUUCAGCUAUUGGUCAAAUUACGAAACUGGUAUGCAGGCUGCCAAGAAACUCAAGGAAGCUGAGAUGUUGCAUGAGAAGGGAUCCUUCAAACAGGUGUCAAUUGAGGUUCCACCAUGUUCCGUGCAAGAAAUGCCCACUGUACCUUCAACACAAGGAGCAGACUGUAACUUAAGCAGAGUCCUCCAGUACCUCAAAGAUGACAGAGUUGGAAUUGUAGGGGUAUGGGGAAUGGGAGGAGUUGGUAAGACCACUCUGCUCAGGAAAAUCAACAAUCACUUGUUGGGUGUGAUCGAAGAAGACUAUGGAUACGACCUUGUUAUAUAUGUUGUGGUGUCUAAGGCGUGUGGAAUAGGGCAGCUCCAAGCAGACAUCUCUGAAAAGAUUGGUCUCUUCCUGAAACCAGGCUCCAGCAUUGAAACACGGGCUUCAGUCAUGUUAAGUUUCAUAAGGCAGAAGAAGUUCUUGCUCCUGCUAGAUGAUUUAUGGAAUUAUUUGGAUCUAGCAGAAGCUGGUAUUCCAUAUCCUAGUGGCCUGAAUAAACAGAAGGUAGUUCUGGCAACACGGUAUGAGAGUGUUUGUGCAAAUAUGGAUGCUCACAACAGGGUUUUCCUGGAAUGCUUGGACCAAGAAAAAGCUUGGAAAUUGUUCAAAGAAAAAGCAACAGAAGAAACCAUUAAUUCAGAUCCUAGGAUCGAAAAGUUAGCACAUGUAGUUGCAGAAGAAUGUGGGGGCUUGCCCCUUGCUCUCAUAACUAUCGGCCGUGCAAUGUCUUCAAAGAAGUCUUAUCAUGAAUGGGCACUUGCUUUAUCAUUUCUGAAGAAGUCUCGCAUUCAUGAGAUCCCAAAUAUGGGGAAUGUUAGCCACCUAUACAAUAGGUUAAAGAUAAGUUAUGAUUAG
rnacentral:rRNA from 1 species